UAUGGUAUUUUCUUAUAUCAUUCCUAUUCCUAAACCGAGACACAUGGUUUAAUAACGAACUCCCAAAAGACUUGGACUCGACUAUUUUUAUUUACUGAUUUAUUUUGUAAUACUUAAAAUACGGGCUUAUAAACUUAUAAACGAAAUUAGAUUUUGUACAUAAUGUCACGACCGAUGACGUUUCACGAACGUCACACAUUGUGACGACACACGACAAUGUUAAUUUGUCUAUUGUUGAUUAAUUUGUUGGAUUCGCAAACUUCGGGGAGUCUUUUCCGGACAUCUUCAAUUAUCUUCGACAGAUUUACUUAAACACUGAAAAGUAGAGGAUAAAAAUGAAGAUAAAAGCCACUGCCUUGAAAUCUUCUACAUUGCGCGUGAUCAACCCAAACAUCCUCUUCCAAUCCUCUCUCAUUGCCCCAACUGUUCUUCCGCUCCAGGCAUGUGUGGAGAUGCUUCUGCUUCUUUGCUCCAAUGAUUCUUUAAUGACGCUAUUGUAUAAACUGGAUAUUCCGUGUUUAACGGACUAAACGGGU